AGCGAACGCUGGCGGCAGGCCUAACACAUGCAAGUCGAGCGCCCGUAGCAAUACGGGAGCGGCAGACGGGUGAGUAACACGUGGGAACGUACCCUUCGGUUCGGAAUAACCCAGGGAAACUUGGAUUAAUACCGAAUACGUCCGUAAGGAGAAAGAUUUAUCGCCGAAGGAUCGGCCCGCGUCCGAUUAGCUUGUUGGUGGGGUAAUGGCCCACCAAGGCUGCGAUCGGUAGCUGGUCUGAGAGGAUGAUCAGCCACACUGGGACUGAGACACGGCCCAGACUCCUACGGGAGGCAGCAGUGGGAAUAUUGGACAAUGGGGAAACCCUGAUCCAGCAAUGCCGCGUGAGUGAAGAAGGCCUUAGGGUU
rnacentral:rRNA from 1 species